GCAAAGAACUGCACAGACUCCUAAAUACACCCCCCCCCCUUCCCUAGGCUCUCCUCAGAGUCACCUCUGCUUUCAGCCAGGAUGUCCACUUGGGGGGGUACUGCUACCAGAAGACCAGCCCGGAAGUCUCUCCAAGAGCCCCGAAGUCCAGGAAUCCCCACCAAAGGAUUCAGAAACAGCGCCCACAGUCCGGGGCCCUUCUGAACGGUACUGUGGGACCAGCUGGUGGAGACUCUGAAGGUCAUUGAACUUGCCAAAGAGUGCAGCCAAGUCUUCAGGAACCUCUGAAGUGUAAACCAGGAAUCCUUCACACCAGUGGUGCUGAUCUGUUUCCUAGUCUCUAAAUAUGCCCAGUAUAUGUGCCCUGAGGAAUUUACACACGCCUUCCUCUCCUCUCUGUUUACCUAAAUACUUCCUCACUUUCCCACCCAUGGCCAUCCUCAUGCCAACUCUUUUACUGAUCGUUCUGUUCAUCCAGCCCUUGGCCUGGGCUGCUCUGUGGUGGUGACCUUUAUGGGAACAUGCUCGUCUCCACAGGUAGCAUCAAGCAGUGAACAAAGACGAAGGACUGUGCUGGUCUGGCUCUGAGUGAGGCCGUGGCAUUACAGCAGCGAGCCAGAGAGACACCCCAACUUUGUCCUAGUGGAAUUCACACCCCAGCAAAGCCUGAUGUGGGCGAAGCAAGACUGCGAAGGCAUUGGGCUGCUGAAGAAAGAGAUGGCAUGGGCGCCUGGAUGACUCAGUUGGCGUAGCAUCUGACCUUGGUACAGAUCAUGAUCUCCUGAUUAAUUAGUUUGAGCCCUGCAUUGGGCUCUCCACUCUCAGCAAGGAGCCCGCUUUAGA